GGUAGUAGCAAGGAACUUUGACGGCUGAAAAGUGGAAGGUUCCAUGUGAACGAAACUUGAACAUGGGUUACUCAAUCCUAAGGGAUGAGGGAAGCUCAUUUGAUAGCGCUUUGAUGUACUGAAAGGGAAUAAAGUUAAAAUUAUUGAAUUGGGACGUUGUAACUGAUGACAAUGUUAGGGAGUAUGGUGAAGUCGGUGAGGCCCACAAAAGUGUUAUCAUUUUUGUUUAACAACUUGUCCUCCUUGGAAAUGACUAAACUAGAGGUAGGGUCCAGCGGCUAGAAGAGCACAACACGUAGUUUGGUGUUGUUCCCCCCGAUGACCCUUGAAAAUCCAAAGCACCAAGUUCCUCCCAUUCUCAAUCGUACUCAUAAUUGCAUCAAGUAUUGAAGGUGAACAACCUUUGGUU
rnacentral:ncRNA from 1 species